CCUACGGGAGGCUGCAGUGGGGAAUAUUGGACAAUGGGGGCAACCCUGAUCCAGCCAUGCCGCGUGUGUGAAGAAGGCCCUCGGGUUGUAAAGCACUUUCAGUGAGGAAGAACGCCUGGUGGUUAAUACCCAUCAGGAAAGACAUCACUCACAGAAGAAGCACCGGCUAACUCCGUGCCAGCAGCCGCGGUAAUACGGAGGGUGCGAGCGUUAAUCGGAAUUACUGGGCGUAAAGCGCGCGUAGGUGGCUUGAUAAGCCGGUUGUGAAAGCCCCGGGCUCAACCUGGGAACGGCAUCCGGAACUGUCAAGCUAGAGUGAAGGAGAGGAAGGUAGAAUUCCCGGUGUAGCGGUGAAAUGCGUAGAGAUCGGGAGGAAUACCAGUGGCGAAGGCGGCCUUCUGGACUGACACUGACACUGAGGUGCGAAAGCGUGGGUAGCAAACAGGAUUAGAUACCCUGGUAGUC
rnacentral:rRNA from 1 species